CAAACCAUAAACAAGCAUAAGAAUGAGAAUCCGGAUAGAAACGGAGCUUAUCGGCACAAUGUGGCUUGAAUCCGGGUCAAAAGCAAAGCCUCCGGAGCCUGUGAAAUUGCCUGAUGAGCUCCCAAAAUUCCAGAGUUCCGAACAGAAUGCUACUGUCUGUUUUUUUAUAACAUUUUGCGAUCGCACGGUCGUGCCAAUAAAGUGCACGACCGUUCACUUUUAAAUUACGUUGCACCACACUUUUGUGACAUCAGCAGAGUUGACUGGUCUUCGAGGUCGCACGGGCGUGCCAUGGGAUGCACGGCCGUUCAUAUCCAGGUUAGGGCGGCACAGGCUCUUGAACGGGUGGUGCAUUACCGGACAUUGGCUGAACAUCGAAACCGCACGGGGUGCAAUCAGACGCACGCCCGUGCGUCACCGGGCUAAGCUUGAACGCCGAGUCGCACACUCGUUCAUUGUCGGGCUGGACUUGAUAUGUCGGAGGUGCACGGUCGUUCCUCAGACCGCACGACCAUUCCGCUUUCCCAGAUUAAGUAGCAUCAAGUAGAAGGAAUCAUCAUAAAGCUUUAGGAUAUACGGCUGAGUUACUUCUCAGUUUUAGCUCAGGCUGAUUAACAGGUACUUCUCGUAAAUAGGCUGGAGCUACUAGGUGUUAUAUAAGAGGAUCUUGCAAAUCCCUAGAUACCCGG